rnacentral:misc_RNA from 1 species
UUGUGGUAACUGUCAAUGCUGUUCUUGACUCUUCUCAUUAUCCAAGUGUCAAGUUGUACUUUAAAUUUUUAAUAAUUUUAUAUAAUAGUUUUUCGGUAUUAUCUACUUCGUUAGUGCUUGCAAUCUAGAAAUGGAACCGCCAGGAAUGGAAAGUGGUUUGGAAUUUCCAAAAAAUCCAUUGCUUUGUCCUAUUUGUCAUGAUUAUUUCACAGAGCCAUGCAUUCUCAGUUGUUACCAUACUUUUUGUGCGAGGUGUUUGAGAGGACGAGAGCAAGAUCGUAGACUAGUUUGUCCGUUCUGCAGACAACCUACGAUGUUGAAAGAUGGGUCUAUGCUGCCCCCAGCUGACACAUUGAUGCGCCAGUUGAUUGACAUUGCGAAUAGUGAAAACCCUCCGUGUUCCAAUUGUGAUAAACGUGAUAGAGCAAAUAUGUAUUACUGCAAUACCUGUGGCCAAGCUUUGUGUUCACACUGCCGGGAUAAUACCCACAGAGCCAAAAUGUUUUCAACCCACGAAGUGGUCCAUAUGACAAAAUGCAUGAAAGAGCCCAAAAAGUGUCCUCAACAUGGUGAACAUUACAUAAUGUUUUCUCCAAUACAAAAUGCCAUGUUGUGUGUUAACUGCUUCAGAGAUUCACCUAAUGACAUUCGUGGGCAAUGUGUUGAUAUUGAGACAGCACAUGCUCAAGCUUCUAAACGUCUUGAGAGGGGACAAAAUGCAAUAAUGGAUCUGCAGACAUCAGUAAGAGAUGGCAUUAUAGCUCUAAAAGGGCUCAUGGAUGAGUUGAGAAGGAAUAUGGAUAGUGAGAAGCACACCAUAAACACAUUCUGCCAAGGAAUGCAGGAGGCGAUGGCCAAAACUCAUGCUACCAUGAUUAUGGAAGUGCAACGUCAAUUUGAGAGCAAAGAUCGAAUUUAUAGAAGUCAACUCAUAGUUCUUGGCACUGUUAUGCCAGUUCUUCAAUUGCACUUAGUACUAUGCACCACUUUCACUGCAGCAGCCAAUAAAUAUCAGUUUUUGGAGUUAUGCCCCUCUCUUAUCGAAAGACUUGCCGUAGUUGGGAACUUGAGCCAACCAGUGAGAUCUUUGCAAUCGUCACAGAUAAAAACUAACUAUCGUAGUGAGUUCGCUCAGUGUCUUGAACCUUGGAUUGGUCCUGCCGCUGUCAGUCAGCAUCAGACGGAAUUAGCUGCAGCUUCCAGAGUAUAUGACACUGCUCCCCCUACUACAAAAAAACAGCAAAGUGCCCUAAAAAACAAACUUCUUGAAGGAGAAAGCUCUUUCUCUUCCCACUGUCGAUCAUUUGAAUCUCAAAUAAGGGAACUAAACCAGCAAUUUAACUUGGUUAAAGAGAAAGUCGGAGAGCUUCACAAAGAUAUAUCUGCUUUGAGAAAGGCUCAGACACCACCGUUACUCUCCCGAUAUGAGGUGUUGAUUCGAGAGUGUUUGCAUUUGGAUCAGAACUUGGAAAGACAACAGCAAGAUCUUGAUAGAAUGGCCUCUGUGUUUGAUGCUUCAUGGGAAGAACAGCUGUGGAGAUUGAGAGUCGAACAGGAAGUUUUCAGCUGUCAAAGGGCUGAUGUCAAUACAUUGAGAAAUGAACUCAAGCACUUGAGUCAGUUAGCAACACAGUUGGAACCACUUAUAAAAAGUCUGACGCCUGCUCAGCAAGCUCAGAGUAGCCAUAGUGAAGCAGGCCAAGGUCAAAGUGAACAAGCUCAACAUCUGGCGGCACUUUUGGAGCACAUUGGUCUCCUGCAACAAUCCGAUGCUUCAUUAGGUAAAAUACCAAGAUCACGUAGCAAAGUACUUGGUCAAUUACUAGAAAAAGUCCGUCCUAAUAUACAAGAAAGGGAAAGAAGCAAGUCAGCAGCGGGACACACUGAAAAGUCAAUGUCAACUACACAAAUGCCGGGAACUAAAAAGACUUUUAUGGCUAGUCAGCAGCAAAAUAUUGAUCGAUUGGAGGCCCAUAUCAAGGAAAAAUUACAUGAUAUCAUAAAUAGAAGACAGAGUCAACCAACUUCAAAAUCCGAUACAGAAACUGACAGACAAUUGGGAAAAGAUGACCGAAAGUUGAGUAAAACAGACUUGGACUCAAUAGCAAAAUUAAGUGUGAAGCAGAGGAUCAUGCACAAGAAAAUAGGCAAGAGUUGUGAUAAAAUUAAUGCCACUAGCAAAUCGGAUGGUGAGAGUAGAAAAACUAAGUCUGAAUCAGAGUAUCAGAGAAUUUCUGAUGCCACUAGUCAAAAUAUUAAAACGUUGGCUCAUGAAACCAGGUCUAGUCCUAGUAGCCCAAAAUGCAAAAAUAAAGGAAAACUGCCAGUUAAGCAACAGAAGAAAAAGGUAUAUCCUUACAGUGAUGGCGAGGACAAUGUGUUUUACUCGAUGCACGAUUCUGCAGAUUCUUUGAGCACUUCAAGCCGACGUUCAAGCUUUGAAGGUCCCGAUAAAACCCUUGUGGUGUUUAUUAAUAGUCGAAACAAAAACAUGACGAUGGCUCAAAAGCAGAGGAGCUGGGAAACUUUUCCACCGAAACGCAGACACCAUGUUUGUCAAAAACUGUCGUCUCCAGCACCCAUGGCACCUUUGCGAAAGGCAGAUAGUUUUGAAGGUCAUGAAGAAGCCGUUAAAAGUCUCGUGGCUGCUGUACAAGAAACGCGCAGGAAACCAAGAGGCGGCAAUUAACCGACAAAGAGCCAGGAUUGCCAAUACGAAUAUAAAGGAAUUUUAUUGUUUGCCUUUUAUGAGAGUAAUCGAGAUUGAGCAUUUACCUUGUUGAAAAAUACCAUUUCUGGAAGAUUUUGGCUGGCUGGAAACUCAUUUUUUAGAUACUUCAAUCUUGUAAAGCAGAUUAAUUUGGGUUUCAGUUUGAAGACUUGCCUCUUGGUUAACCUUCCACUUAUCAGCAAUAAAGAACAAAACAAGAGCAUUCAGUUCAAAGAAGUUGUAAAAGGUAAUUAUUCUGUAAAUUCUAUUCAAAGAAAACUGAAUUACUUUAAAUAUAUGAAUACAAAUAUAUUUGUUAACCUA